AAUCAGGGAUUUACUUGCUACCUCACCAACAUCAAAAAAAGUAAGUAUAUUCUCUUGCAUUUAACUCAGAUGUCUUUUGAGUCAGCUUGUUGAACAACUCAACUGAGCUAUUUUGUAAUCUAACUAAAUUGCCUAAUAAAUAAUUACAUGAAAAACUAAUUUGCUUGGUUGUGCCAUACACAAUUUUCUUAGUAUGUUUUCAGUGUUUUCUUUGAUUCUUUGUUAUGAAGUAUCAAAUAGUGUUAUAACCAGGUUGGAGAGUGAUUAUGCAUUGAUGUGCCAACCAUAUUUAUUGUUUAGUCACUCAAAUUGAACAAGAAAUUGGUGGUAUUCUAAAGUAUUAUGAAAUAGGAGCCAAGCCUUGACAUUGUACCAUGUAGCAACUCUAUUAUCUUUGUGUAUUGAUUUUGGCACUAAAUACCUCUGGUGACCUAUUUGCUUCAUUUUCCUGACUUGCUAUUAUUUUAAAACGUGCAGGAAGACUGCUUCUACGACCUGCCUUACAAUAUUGGGUAUCAAAUUUUCAUGUUACGUUUACAGAAGACAAGGGACGAAAUUAUGAAGUGUACUCUCUCUAUAUAUGUAGAUAUAUACUUUGAUUGAAGAACUGUGGUAGCUUUAGAUGGUUAAUUGUAAAGAUAAUGAAUGAUUAUGUAGUGGAG
rnacentral:lncRNA from 1 species